UACGUAGGUGGCAAGCGUUGUCCGGAAUUAUUGGGCGUAAAGCGCGCGCAGGCGGUCCCUUAAGUCUGAUGUGAAAGCCCACGGCUCAACCGUGGAGGGUCAUUGGAAACUGGGGGACUUGAGUGCAGAAGAGAAGAGUGGAAUUCCACGUGUAGCGGUGAAAUGCGUGGAGAUGUGGAGGAACACCAGUGGCGAAGGCGACUCUUUGGUCUGUAACUGACGCUGAGGCGCGAAAGCGUGGGGAGCAAACAGG
rnacentral:rRNA from 1 species